rnacentral:rRNA from 1 species
GCGAACGGGUGAGUAACACGUAGGUGACUUGCCCCGAAGAUGGGGAUAACCUCUGGAAACGGGGGCUAAUACCCAAUGUGCUCGGUGAUUCGGUUGAUCGAGUAAAGCUCCGGCGCUUCGGGAGAGGCCUGCGGCCCAUCAGCUAGUUGGUAGGGUAACGGCCUACCAAGGCAGAGACGGGUAGGGGGCGUGAGAGCGCGGACCCCCACACUGGCACUGCGACACGGGCCAGACUCCUACGGGAGGCAGCAGUAAGGAAUAUUGCGCAAUGGACGAAAGUCAGACGCAGCGACGCCGCGUGGGCGAUGAAGGCCUUCGGGUUGUAAAGCCCUUUUAUGGGGGAAGAGAAAAAGGACGGUACCCCAUGAAUAAGUCCCGGCUAACUACGUGCCAGCAGCCGCGGUAAAACGUAGGGGACAAGCGUUAUCCGGAUUCACUGGGCGUAAAGAGCGUUGAGGCGGUUCCGUAAGUUGGGCGUGAAAGCUCCGGGCUUAACCCGGAGAUGUCGUUCAAUACUGCGGGGCUUGAGGACAGCAGAGGAAGGUGGAAUUCCCGGUGUAGUGGUGAAAUGCGUAGAUAUCGGGAGGAACACCCGUGGCGAAGGCGGCCUUCUGGGCUGUUCCUGACGCUGAAGGCGAAAGCUAGGGGAGCGAACGGGAUUAGAUACCCCGGUAGUCCUAGCUGUAAACGAUGGAUGCUGGGUGUGGGGGGUGUAAAUUCCCUCUGUGCCGAAGCAAACGCGUUAAGCAUCCCGCCUGGGGACUACGGCCGCAAGGCUAAAACUCAAACGAAUUGACGGGGGCCCGCACAAGCAGCGGAGCGUGUGGUUUAAUUCGAUGCUACACGAAGAACCUUACCUGGGUUUGACAUGCACGUGGUAGGGAACCGAAAGGGGACCGACCUUCGGGAGCGUGCACAGGUGCUGCAUGGCUGUCGUCAGCUCGUGCCGUGAGGUGUGGGGUUAAGUACCGUAAAGAGCGCAACCCUUGCCCUUAGUUACAAGUGUCUAAGGGGACUGCCCGGGACAAUUGGGAGGAAGGUGGGGAUGAUGUCAAGUCAGCAUGUCCUUUAUAUCCAGG